CACAGGUCGAGGCUCAAGAUGACACCGGUGAAAACAAUGUGCAUGAUAAUCGUUGCCAUGGCAAUUUUGUCGAUUUUCCAGUCCCGAAAUCUUGUUCAAGCCCAGUCAGUGGUAAACAGCCCAAGUUUUCAUCGUGUUAACUUCCGUACGGGUCCAGACGGACGACCGAACCUUGGGGGCAUCGGGAACGAGCUGGACGUUUUUUUCGGCGGCGCUGAUCCUAUGAGCACCGGAAGUCGAGGACCCUUUAUGAGACCACCUCCUAUGAUGCGAUUACCAGGACGGUUUAGAAUGAUCUUCUGGUGAAAUCAUAUUCCUUACUGUCAUUCCACUCGCUGUCAUCGACUCAUUUAUUUAUUCCUGUAUGUUGUAUAGUCAUGCUUCAACACAUGUUUAUGCCAUUUUAUUAAUAUGUUUGAAUGUUUUUGUUUAGGUUUUUUAUUAGAAUUGAUGUUGUUUUUUAAUUAAUCGUAUCGAGUUUUAUGUUUUAGUUUUUUAUAAGGUCUUUAUUACAUUUUUUUAGUUUUACGUAUUAACUUUAUAAUGAUUCAUUUGUUAUAGGAAAAUUUUUGAAAUGAUUAAUAGGGAACUUAUAAUGUUUAUUGAUUAGUUGUAUGGACACGAAACAUGUGUUUUAAUUUAAUGUUCAAAUGUUUUUGUGUGUUGUUUUCUUGUCGCACAUACGAAUAAUACAAUAUAACAGAGUCGAGCUUUCAUAAAUUGAGCUGCGUUCUGAGAAAACUGGGCUUAAUGCAUGUGCGUAAAGUGUCAUUCCAGAUUAGCCUGUGCAGUCCGCACAGGCUAAUC